rnacentral:rRNA from 1 species
GACGAACGCUGGCGGCGUGCCUAACACAUGCAAGUCGAGCGAAGAACUUCGGUUCUUAGCGGCGGACGGGUGAGUAACACGUGGGUAACCUGCCUCAAAGAGGGGGAUAGCCUCCCGAAAGGGAGAUUAAUACCGCAUAAUAUUAGAUCUUCACAUGGAGAUUUAAUUAAAGGAGUAAUCCGCUUUGAGAUGGACCCGCGGCGCAUUAGCUAGUUGGUGAGGUAACGGCUCACCAAGGCGACGAUGCGUAGCCGACCUGGGAGGGUGAUCGGCCACAUUGGAACUGAGACACGGUCCAGACUCCUACGGGAGGCAGCAGUGGGGAAUAUUGCACAAUGGGCGAAAGCCUGAUGCAGCAACGCCGCGUGAGUGAUGAAGGCCUUCGGGUUGUAAAACUCUGUCUUUGGGGACGAUAAUGACGGUACCCAAGGAGGAAGCCACGGCUAACUACGUGCCAGCAGCCGCCGUAA